CCCUGAGGGAGGUAGAAGGCGGAGGAGAUGUGAAAGGCAAUCGGCCUGCUGGUACCUCCCUUCCCUGGGCCUCUCUGACGACACCAGCCUUGGGAGCUCAGCUCAGGCUGAUGAUUAGGGAAUGUAGGCAGAAAGGGGUCCCAAACUCAGAGGCUCAGCAGCCUGGGCAAGGAGGCCUCUUGAGGGCUCUCCACUUCUUGUAUGCAAUCCCAGCUUUCUGAGCCCCACAGGACCUGCGCUGGACACUUCGGGUGGGGAGUCUAGGCUGGGGGCACUGUCUGGACUCAGCUGUAAGCUUCCUGAGUACCUAGGGAGACCCAGAAGAGUAGGCUCUGCCCUCACCAGUAUCUCCACCACUACAGGCACCAGGCUGCCUAGGAACCCCGGUGGUGCCUGCAACACCUCCGUAGAGAACCGCACAGCUCGACGGAGGAUCCGACGAAGAACCAGCCUGGAGGGGUUCAGAGGCCAAAUAUGAAUGCCCAGCAACCCUUGGUCAGCAGUAUGGAGAGUGGGGAGGACAAAGUCCAGACCCUUCCAGACUCACGGGGCGCCCGACAUUCCAGGGUAGACACCAUCAGCGAUGCAGACACUGAGUGUGCGGAUGUGAUCGGCCACCACGCGAUAUGCCAUGUCUGUGCGACCCUUGUCUGCUGCUCCGACCUGGCCCAAAACCUUGCUGAGUUAUGACGUGAACAAGCCCCAGCUAGUCUGGUGCUUGACCGACAUGCAGCCUGGUCACCCACGAUGCCCUGAACUGCCAGCCAGCCAGCCGAUCCUUGGAAGUAGAACUUCCUCACAGCUGACUACAGGUCUAUGAAUGAACUCACAGAAGACCAAAAGAAUGACCCAACAAAACCCAGCUAGCAUUGCUAGCCCACAGACUUAUGCUACAUAACUUAUUAUUUUAAAAUACAAAGUGUUAGGUGGGUUGUUACACAGCAAAAUCUCAGUGACACAUUCUCCAGCUACAUCCCACGUGACUCUACUUUAGCUAGCUGGCCACCCUUGUGUUCCUUUCCUGCCUCACAUCCUUGGUACCUGCUGUCCCCUCUACCUGGAAUGAGCUUCCUGUGGCUGGCUCCUCCUCUUUCAGGUUUCAGCUCAAAGAUCAUCUCUUUGGUGAGCCUUCCCCACACACCGGGUCUAAGAUUCCUCUGUACCCAUCCCCUUCUCCUUGUUACUGUCACCCACCUGUACUGCCUGGUCACAAUCUGCAAUCCUGUUCAAAUCUGCCAUUUGUUCUUUCACACAUUUAUUAUUUAUCUCCUAGGCUACAACAUAAUCUCUGUGAUCUCUUUUCUGUUUACUAUUAUUCUCCCGUACCAAGUACAAAGAACUUCACCCAAAGUAGGCACUCAACACAUACUUUUUGAAUGAAGGAAGGAAGGAAGGAGUUAGGGGCAGUAUCAGGUAACAAACAUGAAUCUCAGCCUCAUGUUUGACCCUGGUAUCCUUGGCUGGUCAUGAGGGAGUAUGUGAAGUACUCAACAAAGACGGAGAGCAAUAGCUUCUGGAAGGGAAGAGGCAAGCUCACCUGGUGUAUGGCUUUGAGCAGCGGGGAAAAGAGGUCAGUGUCGUAGGUGGAGGGUGUGCCUUGCAGCACAGCUACCAGUCUUUCCAGGCCCAUUCCUGUGUCCACGUGCCGCUGGGGCAGGGGCUGCAGGCUUCCAUCUGUCUCUCUGGCCAGGGAAGGUGUGCAAGGUGAGGCCCCACAUAGGAUUUCAGGGGUGAGGCAGAUGCCCAAAUGCAGUGGAGGAAUGAGGGGGCUGAGAGUGGGAGGAACCAGAAGGCAGUAUCCACCCCUCCCACUGAAGACAGAUAGCGAUGGCCUUUGUUCCUGUGUGUACUUUCUCAUAAAGGGUGAUCUCCACCCUCACCCCUCCGCCUCUCAAUGGGACCCACACGUCCCCUUUCUGGGAUAGAAUUCUUUGUCCUGAGAAAGAGACACGUCAAAGCUGGAGGAAAAUCUCAGAGAUCAUGAAGCUCAGCAUCAUCCUGUGAUACAACAGCAGAGGCCUAAGAGGAGCAAUGACUAGUUUAAACUGUUAUAAGCAUAGUCAGUUGGGCAUCUGACUCUUGGUUUUGGCUCAGGUCAUGGGAUCAGGCCCCCGCAUUGGGAUCCAUGCUGAGCAUGGAGCCUGCUCCGGAUUCUCCUGAGAUUCUCUCUUUCUCCUUCUCCCUCUGCACCCCUCCUCAGUUCCUGUGUGCUCUCGCUCUCUCAAACAAACAAACAAACAAACAAACAAACACUGUUAAGUGCACAGACUAGAGUUAAAUCAAUUAUUAUCUGAAAAGUAUUUAGCAAUGUGCCUGGCACACAAUAAGCACCAUUUAAGUGUUUGUUUUUCUUUAAUAAGAAGCAGAUCAAAGUCUCUUGGCUACCGCCUUUUCCAUUUCUGGCCAGGGAUUUUCCUCCUGCUUCAGCAUUCCAUUACCUGUUGUGUUGAAUGAAGACCAGAUUCCAAAGCUCCACCAGCUGGGGGGCUCCCACUCUACCAGCCAGGUCAUAGUGGAUCUCGGUACAGGGCCCACAUGGGCCAGUGUCCCCCAUCUCCCAGAAGUUCUCUUCUGGUCCAAAGGAAAGCACAUGGCUGGCAUGCACCCUGAGAAGAAAGCCGGAUGAGUAGUAGGAAGACAGACAAACCUGGAAGCCAGAACGCUCUUUGCCAUGAGAGCCUCUCCAUCAAGCUCAUCAAGAGGAGAGACAAGGCUG